GCCUGUAUAAUCAAAGCACAAGCAUUUGAGCUAACAGCAUUGUCAGAAAUUCAGGGAAGUCAAUUGUACCGUUACCGUCCGCAUCUACUUCACUAAUCAUGUCCUGCAACGCUGCUUCUGUGGGAUUCCGCCCUAGAGACCUCACUACAGUUCCCAGCUCCUUUGUUGUUACAGUUCUGUCACCAUCCUUGUCACAUAGCGGAAAAGCUUCUUUGAAUUCUGCAAUCCGCUCUUCAGUCAGUUGGUCAGCCAUGCUGCAAGCGCUACUCGUUUCGGAGACGCAAACACCGAGCUGCCUACCAGUUCCUCUAUUAAACAUUCUAAGAAAUCA